rnacentral:rRNA from 1 species
UACGAACCGUGCGAGCGUUGUUCGGAUUCACUGGGCUUAAAGGGCGCGUAGGCGGGGUACUAAGUCAGGGGUGAAAUCUUUCGGCUCAACCGGAAAACGGCCCCUGAUACUGGUAGUCUUGAGGGAGGUAGGGGCAGGUGGAACUUCCGGUGGAGCGGUGAAAUGUGUUGAUAUCGGAAGGAACGCCGGUGGCGAAAGCGACCUGCUGGAUCUCUUCUGACGCUGAGGCGCGAAAGCUAGGGGAGCGAACGGG